rnacentral:rRNA from 1 species
CGUCUAUAUACGUAUAGCAUAUCAAUAAGCGGAGGAAAAGAAACUAACAAGGAUUCCCUUAGUAACGGCGAGUGAAGCGGGAAGAGCUCAAAUUUGAAAUCUUCAAGGUUUACCUUGACGAAUUGUAGUUUAAAGAAGUGUUUUCUGUUAGAGGAGUAGCAAAAGUUCCUUGGUAUGGGACAUCAUAGAGGGUGAGAAUCCCGUAUUUGGUUAUUCUUUCUAGCUCUGUGAUACACUUUCAAAGAGUCGGAUUGUUUGGGAAUGCAGUCCAAAAUGGGUGGUAAAUUUCAUCUAAAGCUAAAUAUUGGCGAGAGACCGAUAGCGAACAAGUACCGUGAGGGAAAGAUGAAAAGAACUUUGAAAAGAGAGUUAAACAGUACGUGAAAUUGUCAAAAGGGAAGCGUUUGACACCAGUGUUGUUUUUCCGAAAAUCAAUUAAGAACGGCUUGAUUUUGUGUUGUAUUGACCUUAUCAGCUUUCUUCACUCUUUUUCGAGUCUUUCUUAAUGCACUUUUCGGUUAACAAGUCAACAUCAAUUUCUUUUGUUGUAAAAGGGUAUUUGGAAGGUGGCUUUCUUUUCGGAGAAAGUGUUUAUAGCCUUAUACCUCUACAAUCGGAGAGAUUGAGGUCUGCAGCGUAGAUCCUUCGGGGCUAGAUACACUUGUGCUAAGUUAUAGCUUUUCAUAGACAACUUGUUGACUAUGUUUAGUCAUGUAGCUUACCCGCUUGUGCUAUUUUACCUACGCUUAGGAUGUUGAGUCAUCACACAUCUCU